rnacentral:miRNA from 1 species
CACUGCUCCUGCCUUCUUACAG